UGAUAGCUCAGUUGGCAGAGCAUAAGACUCUUAAUUUCAAGGUUGUGGGUUCGAGCCCCACAUUGGGCGAAA